rnacentral:rRNA from 1 species
GACGAACGCUGGCGGCGUGCCUAAUACAUGCAAGUUGAGCGCUGAAGGUUGGUACUUGUACCAACUGGAUGAGCAGCAAACGGGUGAGUAACGCGUGGGGAAUCUGCCUUUGAGCGGGGGACAACAUUUGGAAACGAAUGCUAAUACCGCAUAAAAACUUUAAACACAAGUUUUAAGUUUGAAAGAUGCAAUUGCACCACUCAAAGAUGAUCCCGCGUUGUAUUAGCUAGUUGGUGAGGUAAAGGCUCACCAAGGCGAUGAUACAUAGCCGACCUGAGAGGGUGAUCGGCCACAUUGGGACUGAGACACGGCCCAAACUCCUACGGGAGGCAGCAGUAGGGAAUCUUCGGCAAUGGACGAAAGUCUGACCGAGCAACGCCGCGUGAGUGAAGAAGGUUUUCGGAUCGUAAAACUCUGUUGGUAGAGAAGAACGUUGGUGAGAGUGGAAAGCUCAUCAAGUGACGGUAACUACCCAGAAAGGGACGGCUAACUACGUG